GACGAACGCUGGCGGCGUGCUUAACACAUGCAAGUCGAACGGAAAGGCCCUGCUUUUGUGGGGUGCUCGAGUGGCGAACGGGUGAGUAACACGUGAGUAACCUGCCCUUGACUUUGGGAUAACUUCAGGAAACUGGGGCUAAUACCGGAUAGGAGCUCCUGCUGCAUGGUGGGGGUUGGAAAGUUUCGGCGGUUGGGGAUGGACUCGCGGCUUAUCAGCUUGUUGGUGGGGUAGUGGCUUACCAAGGCUUUGACGGGUAGCCGGCCUGAGAGGGUGACCGGCCACAUUGGGACUGAGGUGAGGCCCCGACUCCUACGGGAGGCAGCAGUGGGGAAUAUUGCACCAUGGGCGGAAGCCUGAUGCAGCAACGCCGCGUGCGGGAUGACGGCCUUCGGGUUGUAAACCGCUUUCGCCUGUGACGAAGCGUGAGUGACGGUAAUGGGUAAAGAAGCACCGGCUAACUACGUG
rnacentral:rRNA from 1 species